GGGCACAUGGUGUAGUUGGUUAUCACAUCCGCUUAGCAUGAUCAGCUUGCGGGGGGUGCUGGGUUCAAUUCCCAGUGUGUCCA
rnacentral:tRNA from 1 species